GGGGUGCAGCAGGCGCGAAAACUUUACAAUGCACGAAAGUGUGAUAGGGGAACUCAGCGUGCUUAUGUUAAACAUAGGCUUUUCUUUAGGGUAAAUACCUAAGGGAAUAAAGGAUGGGCAAGACCGGUGCCAGCAGCCGCGGUAACACCGGCGUCCUUAGUGGGAAUCACUUAUUAGGUCUAAAGCGCUCGUAGUCGGCUUUGUAAAUUUCUUGUGAAAUCGUGNCGCUUAACGGCACGGCGUGCAGGAAACACUGCAGAGCUUGGGACUGGGAGGCGUCAGAAGUAUUCCUUAGGGAGCGGUAAAAUGUGAUAAUCUAAGGAGGACUACCUGUGGCGAAGGCGUCUGACGAGAACAGGUUCGACGAUCAGGAGCGAAGGCUAGGGGAGCAAACCGGAUUAGAUACCCGAGUAGUCCUAGCAGUAAACACCUGUGUGCAAGGUGUUGCGUCUACAAUAGGUAGAUGCAGUAUCGAAGCGAAGGCAAUAAGCA
rnacentral:rRNA from 1 species